rnacentral:rRNA from 1 species
GACGAACGCUGGCGGCGUGCCUAAUACAUGCAAGUAGGACGCACAGUUUAUACCGUAGCUUGCUACACCAUAGACUGUGAGUUGCGAACGGGUGAGUAACGCGUAGGUAACCUACCUAUUAGAGGGGGAUAACUAUUGGAAACGAUAGCUAAUACCGCAUAACAGUAUGUAACACAUGUUAGAUGCUUGAAAGAUGCAAUUGCAUCGCUAGUAGAUGGACCUGCGUUGUAUUAGCUAGUAGGUAGGGUAAAGGCCUACCUAGGCAACGAUACAUAGCCGACCUGAGAGGGUGAUCGGCCACACUGGGACUGAGACACGGCCCAGACUCCUACGGGAGGCAGCAGUAGGGAAUCUUCGGCAAUGGGGGGAACCCUGAUCGAGCAACGCCGCGUGAGUGAAGAAGGUUUUCGGAUCGUAAAGCUCUGUUGUUAAGGAAGAACGAGUGUGAGAAUGGAAAGUUCAUGCUGUGACG